rnacentral:rRNA from 1 species
UACGUAGGGUGUGAGCGUUUAAUCGGAAAUACUGGGCGUAAAGCGUGCGCAGGCGGUGAUGUAAGACCGAUGUGAAAUCCCCGGGCUUAACCUGGGAACUGCAUUGGUGACUGCAUUGCUGGAGUAUGGCAGAGGGGGGUGGAAUUCCACGUGUAGCAGUGAAAUGCGUAGAGAUGUGGAGGAACACCGAUGGCGAAGGCAGCCCCCUGGGCCAAUACUGACGCUCAUGCACGAAAGCGUGGGGAGCAAACAGGG